AUAAAUGAGCGAUCAUUGCGUGAAUUUAUGGAAGUGUCGCUACCGUCCAGUCUGCACGGAUCCCGGUCUGUAACUCAGUUCAGAUCCUUCAAUCUGAGGAGCUGUCAGGGUUCAACCUGCCGUCUGAAUUUGAAUCUGAAGCCCGACAGAAACGGGACAUCUUCUCUCCGAUGUGAUGGAGGUGACAGCGCCCUGAAGGUAACCCUGACUCUCAGUGGGAGCGAGACGGAGAGGAUGAGGCUGCCUGCUGUGCUGCGGAGCUCAUAGCACACACCGACCAACAAACACACACCCGUUCAUAACAAAGCUCAGGGCCACAUCUGUCUGGCUCGGUGGAAGCUCCAGACAGAUCACUGCACUGAGGGGAGAGUGAGGAGAGGCUGCCCGGCACUUUGGGAUCUGAGCCAAUGACCUGUUGGAGGAGAGAAGCAGAGUAAAGGCUUGAUUAAAAUGGGGGAGCAGAUCUCCGUACCUGCUGACUGUGUGUCUGAGUGCCGCUCGCUCAGCCCACAGCCAUGCCAGACGUAAAGCCUCCACCACCAUGUGACUACCCCUCCACCUCCUCUUCCGCGGCCUCCGCUGGCUCUGGUGCUGGCUGCACCUCUCCCCUCGACCUUGUCUUAGACAUGGAGCCCUGC